GACGAACGCUGGCGGCGCGCCUAACACAUGCAAGUCGAACGAGCGAGAGAGAGCUUGCUUUCUCGAGCGAGUGGCGAACGGGUGAGUAACGCGUGAGGAACCUGCCUCAAAGAGGGGGACAACAGUUGGAAACGACUGCUAAUACCGCAUAAGCCCACGGCUCGGCAUCGAGCAGGGGGAAAAGGAGCAAUCCGCUUUGAGAUGGCCUCGCGUCCGAUUAGCUAGUUGGUGAGGUAACGGCCCACCAAGGCGACGAUCGGUAGCCGGACUGAGAGGUUGAACGGCCACAUUGGGACUGAGACACGGCCCAGACUCCUACGGGAGGCAGCAGUGGGGAAUAUUGCACAAUGGGAAACCCUGAUGCAGCGACGCCGCGUGGAGGAAGAAGGUCUUCGGAUUGUAAACUCCUGUUGUUGGGGAAGAUAAUGACGGUACCCAACAAGGAAGUGACGGCUAACUACGU
rnacentral:rRNA from 1 species